UCAUGGUAUUAUUAGCAUCAUCAGAGAAGC
rnacentral:sRNA from 1 species